rnacentral:tRNA from 1 species
ACAAAGUUGGCAGAAAUAUGUGAAUAAUUUAGGUUUAUUUUAUAAGAUUGUUUAAUCUUACUUUGUA